AUGGCUUUCGCGCUCAAGGCGUCGUCGACGGCUCACGCGCUCAGCCACCCGACGCGGCGCGGUUCGUCGCCCGCUGUGUUGGUGGCCACGCGGGGCAGGCUUGUGGUCAGGGCCGCCGCUGCCGCGGCGCCGGCGCCGGCCUCGUCCGAACCCGCUGUGGUGCUCAGAGCGCCGCCGCGCGUCCCGGCGGCGUUCGUGCCCGUCGCCGACUGCUCCGUGGCGCGGACCUUGACCAGGGUCAAGGAGCAGGGCAAGACGGCGUUCAUCCCGUACAUCACCGCCGGCGACCCCGACCUGGCGACCACCGCGGAGGCACUCAGGCUCCUGGACGCCUCACGGGCGCUGGCGUCCGGCACGACGAUCGACGGCGUGUUGUCCAUGCUCAAGGAGGUGACGCCGGAGCUGUCCUGCCCGGUGGUGCUCGUCUCGUACCUGGGCCCCAUCGUGCGGCGGGGCGCGGCCAACUUCACCGCCGCUGUCAAACAGGCCGGUCUUAUAGUGUCCGAUCUUCCUUAUGCCGAGACAUGUCCAUUCAGAAAUGAAGCCAUCAAGAAUAACCUAGAGCUUGUGCUACUUACAACACCAGCCACACCAGCAGAGAGAAUGAAGAAAAUCACUAGCGCUUCAGAAGGGUUUGUAUACCUUGUAAGUGUCAAUGGAGUUACAGGUCCACGACCAAAUGUGAACCCGCGUGUCAAAGAUCUUCUUAAGGAGAUUAAGCAGGUCACUGACAAAGCAGUGAUUGUUGGCUUUGGUAUAUCGACACCUGAUCAUGUUAGACAGAUCGCUGAGUGGGGUGGUGAUGGGGUGAUCGUUGAUAGUGCAAUGGUGAAACAAUUGGGUGAAGCGGCUUCUCCGACAGAAGGGUUGAAGAGGCUAGAGAACUUCGCGAGGAGCCUCAGGGAUGCACUACAGUGA
rnacentral:rRNA from 1 species